UUCCUAUGAGGAAGAAAUCCCCAAUAAAGAUAGGAAGUGCCGUAUGACACGUUAAACAGCGGCGGAUCC
rfam:Helianthus annuus linkage group 16, whole genome shotgun sequence.